rnacentral:misc_RNA from 1 species
AAGUCGUAACAAGGUCUCCGUUGGUGAACCAGCGGAGGGAUCAUUACAGAGUUAAACAAACUCCAAACCCUUUGUGAACCUUACCAUAAGUUGCCUCGGCGUGCGCUGCGGCUACCCGGUUUCCGGCCCCGCAGACGGGUGGUUACCCUGUAGCCGGUCAACAGCCCGCCGAAGGACCCCUAAACUCUGUUUAAAAUGGUGUAUUCUGAAUUACUUAAACUAAAAUAAGUUAAAA